rnacentral:misc_RNA from 1 species
UUCUCGCGUAAGGGAUUGCAGUGGAAAUCCCGGAAUGAAGCAAAGCGGAAUGAGGAAUUGCAACGAAAAGCCCGACCUGAA